AUGAUGAAUCCACCCGGGCAUCCGUACGCGCGCUGGAGCCAGCAAAGCAUCGGCUCUCCGGCCGGGUUCUCGUCGUCGCCACACCCAUGGAGCACGCCGUCGCCGAGCUAUGCCGACGGGGACGCCCAUGGCGGCUUCAACCCCAACAUCGCUUUCCCCCAUGGGCGCCCGGUCCAGCGCACGCCCUCGCCCGCGUUCGCCGGCGUGCAGUACCCGCCGUACGUGUACUCGCCGUCGGACUACGCAGCCUCGCCGACGCCGCCUCUCCGCCCCGGCCUCCACUCACAAGCCUCCUCCUCGACGCAUCUCGGCGACACCGACACGACGGCGACCGACAUGGAGGACAUCAUCGCAGCCGGCUCGGCUGCGGCCGCCGUUUCCUCCGGGUUCGCUACGCAGGACCUCACCGACAUGGACGACGAGCUCGACUACGGCGAGGAAGAGCCGGAGGAGGAGGAGGAGGAGCCGGCGCCGACGAGGAAAAGCAAGAAGAAGAAGAAGACGAAAGCGGCCAAGUCCGGCGAGCCACGUAUCAAAUGGGAGUCCAAGGAAGAAGAGUGCCUCGCCGAAGCGUGGAAGGUCGUAUGCCUCGACCCGGUCACCGGCACGAAUCAGAGCAUCGAGACGUAUUGGGACCGCAUCAAGGCCGAGUUCGACGAGCGGAAGCUCGUCGACCCCUACUUCAAAGGCAUGCAGAUGAAGCGGGGUUCGAAGGCGAUGGCGAACCAUUGGUCGCUCAUUCAAACGGCGUGCAACAAAUGA
rnacentral:rRNA from 1 species